rnacentral:lncRNA from 10 species
GUAAUCUUAGAAGGAACUCAAGACCCCUGGGCUAAUGAGUUUCCAUUCCUGACUGUGCAAUAAGAGCUGGAUGCAUCUGUAACAAAAGGCGGGACCCCUGAGCCCUGGAGUACAGAGAUUCCUUGGGGAAUUCGGCAGUUAGUGGGGCUUUAUGGCAGAUUCUUUCAGGGUUAUGAUGGGCUUGGGGGGAUGGCAGGAGGGCAUCUCAGCGGACCUGUGCCUGGGUAAGGAAUGGGGCACUAAGUUUUUUGAGGGAAUGAAAUGUCAAGCCAAUGGGGAUACGCUACAGAAUCCCACAAGGGUGUGUACGAGUGGGCAGAGAAGUGACAGAUGAGAUUUGGUGUGGGCAAGUGUAAGAUAAUGUAUUUAAAGACAUAUCUCAAGUGCUGUAUGACUUCCUUCUGAGAUGAUUUGGGGAGGUCAUCCAGUUCUAUGGUGAGUAGAUCAUUUAUGCCAAUGAGCCCCAAGUUCAUGCCCUCAGCCCUGGCUUCACCUGAGCUCCAGACUCACCAUUUGACUCUCACUGACAUCACCACUGGGGUGCCUCACAGGUGCUCCAGAUCUGGCAGGGCGUCAAUGAGUUCUUGCUUCUUCCCUUACACCUGUUCCUCCCGCAGCCUUCCUCAUCUCACUAAAUGGCAACUCCAUGGAGCCUAUCCUUGCAUCUCUGCAAAAUGCACACAUCCCGAAAAAGUCGGCAGAUGGGAAAGGGAGGUAGGCAGAUAGCUGUGAAAGGUGCAUGGCCUCUGGCUUUUGGAAGGAUGACCAGAAGGGAUGGCUGGAAGCCCAAAGAACUGUGAAACUGAUGGGGGAAAGUCAAUGGGUUUCAUCAGUGAAUCCAAGGAUGGGAUGGCUAGGAUUUGGAAGUGUAAAAAGAUACAUGUCAGGAUGAAACCAAAGGAAGCUACCAGGCCCACUGUGUAUUUCCACAUGGAGUGCCGCUGCCCACCCUUCCCAGCUGUCUGCUGGAGGUAUCCUGUGCCUUUCAUCCAAAUCCUACUUUUUCUCUGCAUCC